GGAGGAAACGUUUGGAGUCCUGUGUAGAGAUAGAAAGAGACAAGGACAGAGGAGAGGGGCAGGAGGAGGAUGAAGAGGACACAUCGAGAAGGACAGAAGGGCGACGGGACCCGAGGACAGGAAGUAGCUACGUGUCUGCACAGGAAGUGCUGUCUGCUGAGGUGUGACUGUGGUGGAUCAUCUGGUCUUUGGGGUAAAACAGAACCAGCAGCUGGACGUGGAUGAAGCCGACUCUGGACCUCUGAGGUGUUCUGUCUGUCUGUCUGUCUGGGUGUCUGUGUGUCGGUGUUACUCACGGAAGAGGCGGCGCGCUAGAAAACGGGGGAGUCCAGCCGGCCCCCGGGUAAUUAUAGAAGGCCCCCCGCUGAGGCCCCGAGGGCGUCUGUCUACGUGCCUGAUGGGAGGUGAAGGGGUCCUCACUCUCACUGUCCGAGUCCUCGUACUCCUCCGAUUCGCUGCCGCCGGCCAUGAAAGACAGAAACAGAAACAGAGGACUGAUGAGCAGUAAAUAAAAGACGGCUUUCUACGGACGUUACUGGAUAGACCAACACCCCGAACAUCAGAGGUUCAAACCCCAGUCAGGACCUGGUUGUCCUGGUUGUAAAGGGUCGGGUUGUGGAGGCAGCAGAUGAAGCAGGUCAUUCCAGACGUUCCUCCUCCCAGCAACACUUUCCAGCUCUUCCCAAGGCGUUCCCUGGUCAGAUGAGAUAUAUAAUCCCUCCAGAGGGUUCUGGGUCUACCCCGGGGUCUCCUCCCUGGUGUUCUGAAAAUCUCCAAAGGAAGUCUCCCUGGAGGAUCUGAAUCAGAUGUCCAAACCACCUCCACUGGUUCCUUUAGAGGUGAAGGAUCAGCAGCUCUACUCCGAGCUCCCUCCAGAUGUCUGAUCUUCUCAGACAUUUGCAUAAAGUAGAUUUGACUUCUACUUUAUGGAAAUUCUGUGCGAGGAGCAGAGGUCUGACGCCUUACGAAACUUUGGUAGAACGUCUAAACCAGCCAUCGUUGAACUCAAUGGAGGACAGAUUGAGCAGCUUAUUUCUUGUCUGAAAUCUUUCAGAAAUACUUUCAGCUGAACAGUUUUUAAUGGUACAGACCAACAUGGCGGCUCACUCACAAACUUUGUCUUUCUAGUGAAAAAUAUUUCUAAAAGCAUUUGAGGUGAGAAACAAGCAGCUAAAUCUGUCCUGCUUUAACUUCAUGAAUGGGAUGUUAGAAACUGACGGAUCCUGAGGACACGUUCCGUGAAUCAGCGUCCUUAGUGCUGCCCCUUCUACCUACCUGGUGUCGGAUCUACUCUCAGAUGUACGGCACUUUGGAUAAAAGCUCAUUAACCAUAAAUAAAUAAAUACAAAUGUGGUUCUGAGUUAUGAAUAUUCAAAUAAUUGCCAAAAAGAUCGAGACGUCUGACUUCACAUGAACUUUAAUGACUCGGCCAACAAAAGACACCUGAUCCAACCACAGCAGGGCCAGCUGGCACCUUCUCCUCUGGGUUCCCGGUGGUGGAACGAGUUACCAAACUGUUAGGGUUAACCCUACCAACUGCAGAAUCCCUUUCAGUGUUUAAGAAAUGUUCAAAAUGACUAAAACUGGACAUAAAUGAAUUAAAAAUGAGUUGUAAAACUG